rnacentral:rRNA from 1 species
GAUGAACGCUGGCGGCGUGCCUAAUACAUGCAAGUCGAGCGAACAGACGAGGAGCUUGCUCCUCUGACGUUAUCGGCGGACGGGUGAGUAACACGUGGAUAACCUACCUAUAAGACUGGGAUAACUUCGGGAAACCGGAGCUAAUACCGGAUAAUAUAUUGAACCGCAUUGUUCAAUAGUGAAAGACGGUUUUGCUUUCACUUAUAGAUGGAUCCGCGCCGCAUUAGCUAGUUGGUAAGGUAACGGCUUACCAAGGCAACGAUGCGUAGCCGACCUGAGAGGGUGAUCGGCCACACUGGAACUGAGACACGGUCCAGACUCCGACGGGAGGCAGCAGUAGAGAAUCUUCCGCGAUGGGCGAAAGCCUGACGGAGCAACGCCGCGUGAGUGAUGAAGGUCUUCGGAUCGUAAAACUCUGUUAUUAGGGAAGAACAAAUGUGUAAGUAACUAUGCACAUCUUGACGGUACCUAAUCAGAAAGCCACGGCUAACUACGUG